rnacentral:rRNA from 1 species
UAAUUGAAGAGUUUGAUCAUGGCUCAGAUUGAACGUUGGCGGCAGGCUUAAUACAUGCAAGUCGAACGGUAACAGGAAGGAAGCUUGCUUCCUUUGC